CCCCGGAGGACUUGGUGCGAAGAGGAAGUGAGGUGGUGCUCUGAACCGGACCGUCGCCGCUCUUUGCUCCUGGCCAUCUCAGCUCGCCGCGGAGAAAAGCACGUGCUUCCCUAGCACUGUUGUGGUUUGACUCGUACUUUGGUGCAAUUUAUAGGUAACUACCAACUUACAGUGGCAAUUUGUGUGUUGUCCAUCAGUGUUUUGUGUGAUGACCAUCUGCAAGGUCCCUGUAGCAGUGGACAGUAAUAUGGCCUAAGGGAAAAACUGUUGACUGAGGCAUUUUAUGAUACUGCAAGAAUAUUCUUCACCAAGAGAUUGAUCAAACCAGAGAAAAGUCAUGACAUGCUCAAGGAAGUAAAGCCUGCCUGAAUAAGCAUCAGGAAGACCUGGCGCCCCCCGGUGCUCUUUGUUUAACAGAGGAGGUAUCCUUUGGACAGAAUGGAAGAGGUGUUAGAGAGAAUCAUCAUGUCAGUAUGACAAGAAGAGUACUGAGACAUGUUGGCAACAGCAGGAUGGCAACCAGCUGGCAGCAAUGAUAGACUAUGAAUUAACAAGAAUCAUAGAAUCAUAAAAUGGUGUGGGUUGAAAAGGAUCUCAAAGAUCAUCUAGUUUCAAACCCCCUGCCAUGGGAGACCUGCUAACCACAAGAUAAGGCUUCACAGAACCACAUCCAGCAUGGCCUUGAAUGCAUCCAGGGAUGGGGCAUCCUCAGUCUCCUUGGGCAACCUGUUCCAUUGCAUCACCACCCUCUGAGUGAAAAGCUUCCUUCUAAUAUCUAACCUAAAUCUCCCCUGUCUGAAUUUAAAACCUUCUGCCUCAGAAGAAGCACUGGAUUCAUAAGAGGCUACUUUAAUCUUUUGCAACCAGCAGGAGCAAGUAGUUUUUUUUUCUCAGAUGUUCACAUAUGUUGUUUCAGAAAUUUCUCAUUAUGGCCUAAUAAGCAAUGGAAGUUUUUCAAACUGGGGAAAAACAAAAAGGUCAGCCAGAAGUCUCUGUGAUGAAGCUGCUGAUGGAAACCUAAGGAGAAAGUAAGUGGUUGAAGACCACUAGAGGCCGCUACCAGAGGGACAUUAACAGAUAUUAAUGAAUUCGGAGAGGAAAAAAAAAAAGAGAGAAUAUGUAUGUGAAAUACUGCAUAAAACAUAUGUAUGUUUUAACUGAAACGUAGAAUCUGAACUCUGAGAGAG
ensembl:lncRNA